CGGUUGAUCCUGCCGGACCCUACUGCUAUCGGGGUGGGACUAAGACAUGCGAGUUGAGCGUCUCUAAGCUAUUUGUAGAGACGCAGCGUACGGCUCAGUAACACGUGGCUAACCUACCCUUAGGACGGGGACAACCCCGGGAACUGGGGCUAAUACCCGAUAGGCGAGGAAGCCUGGAAUGGUUCUUCGUCGAAAAGGCGUUGAAACCAUGCUUUUCAACGUCGCCUAAGGAUGGGGCCGCGCCCGAUCAGGUUGUUGGUGGGGUAACGGCUCACCAAGCCUAUAACCGGUACGGGCCGUGAGAGCGGGAGCCCGGAGAUGGGCACUGAGACAAGGGCCCAGGCCCUACGGGGCGCAGCAGUCGCGAAAACUCCGCAAUGCGCGAAAGCGUGACGGGGCUACCCCGAGUGCCGUCCGCUGAGGAUGGCUUUUCCCCGGUGUAAUGAGCCGGGGGAAUAAGGAGAGGGCAAGUCUGGUGUCAGCCGCCGCGGUAAUACCAGCUCUCCGAGUGGUAGGGAUGAUUAUUGGGCUUAAAGCGUCCGUAGCCGGCUUAGCAAGUCUCCUGUUAAAUUCAGCGACCUAAUCGUUGAGCCGCGGGAGAUACUACUAGGCUAGGAGGCGGGAGAGGCCGACGGUAUUCUCGGGGUAGGGGUGAAAUCCUAUAAUCCCGGGAGGACCACCAGUGGCGAAGGCUGUCGGCUAGAACGCGCUCGACGGUGAGGGACGAAAGCUGGGGGAGCGAACCGGAUUAGAUACCCGGGUAGUCCCAGCUGUAAACGAUGCGGGCUAGGUGUUGGGGUGGCUACGAGCCACUUCAGUGCCGCAGGGAAGCCGUUAAGCCCGCCGCCUGGGGAGUACGGCCGCAAGGCUGAAACUUAAAGGAAUUGGCGGGGGAGCAC
rnacentral:rRNA from 1 species